CUCUUCUCUCUACAUGGCGCUGAGAUAAGCUAAUCAAAAGCUAUUCCACUACCCAGCAUGCCCCUGGCUGGUGUACAGUUGCAGGGAAAGAAGAAAGAUGCAGUAUGAUCCACUUUGAGGUCGGCUUUAAGGGCUAGCGGUGUUCCAUUGCAAAGUCCUCUAUCACCACACCCGCUGCAUACAAUUCUACACUCCACUUGAGGAAAGUUCGCCCAUGGAGAAAACCACUCCAUAAAAGCAGUAUCAGAAGGCUGCUGUAGCGAAGCAUGCAACAUAGAGACCCGACCAGCUGUCUGUUAAUCUGUCAGUUGUGUGUGUAAAACACAUUAAGGAUAUUCAGAUAAUAAACCUAAAUAUAGCAGUGCAUGUAACAGUGGAGAAUAGCUGGCUCAAUAAUGUAUUUGUGGUUACGGAACCAGUGACAAACUAACUAACUUCCUGUCACAUCAGAGAAGUGAAUGGAGGUGUGGGUGAGAGAUGUAUUGUGUGUGUUGCAGCGCUGUACCGUAAGCCUCCUC